rnacentral:snoRNA from 1 species
ACCCCCCAAUGAUGUCAGCACUGGGCUCCAAUCACCAUGACGACACUGGUGCCCCCCAGGGCCUUGACACCCUGGUGGCUGAGGGUCGGGU